UACGUAGGGUGCGAGCGUUGCCCGGAAUUAUUGGGCGUAAAGAGCUCGUAGGCGGUUUGUCGCGUCUGCUGUGAAAACUCGGGGCUUAACCCCGGGCCUGCAGUGGGUACGGGCAGACUAGAGUGCGGUAGGGGAGACUGGAAUUCCUGGUGUAGCGGUGAAAUGCGCAGAUAUCAGGAGGAACACCGGUGGCGAAGGCGGGUCUCUGGGCCGUAACUGACGCUGAGGAGCGAAAGCGUGGGGAGCGAACAGG
rnacentral:rRNA from 1 species